CAGCCGCCGCGGUAAUACGAGGGGGGCAAGCGUUGUUCGGAAUUAUUGGGCGUAAAGGGCGCGUAGGCGGUUUGGCAAGUUUGGUGUGAAAUCUUCGGGCUCAACUCGAAGUCUGCAUCGAAAACUGCCGGGCUUGAGUAUGGGAGAGGUGAGUGGAAUUUCCGGUGUAGCGGUGAAAUGCGUAGAUAUCGGAAGGAACACCUGUGGCGAAAGCGGCUCACUGGACCAUAACUGACGCUGAGGCGCGAAAGCUAGGGGAGCAAACAGGAUUAGAUACCCCUGUAGUCCCUGUCUCUUAUAC
rnacentral:rRNA from 1 species